CGGCUCAGCUCCAGUAGAAAAACAUCCUCUCACUAUGUGGCCGGAAGUUGAACUCCGGGGCAGCUUGAUUGUGUGCGGCUUCUUUAAAGGCGAAGCAGGCGUCGGACGGCUUGACUGUUGAGCGCUGGGUGGUGUGUGGCCCACCGUCGGGCUCAGGCAUUGUGGGGUGGUUGGUGGUGGUUGUAGUAUUUGGAAAAGAACUUGUCCCUGAAGGGCUCAGGAGACUUGUUUUCUCGGUUCCUAAUAUGGAAAAUGGAAGACAUUUCCUACGAGAUGCAGAUUUUAAAGCGGGCAUCUACUCCAGGGGUUUGGAUUCCUGCACUGCACUAAUUCCAGUCUCCCUCGGAUUUUGCUGAGAAGAGCUGUGCUUCUCACGAGCUACUGGGGAGACGUUCGCCCUACAGGAGGGGUCAGUGUGGCUGCAGACGUUGACCUGCGCAGCAAAAGACAGUGGCUAAUUUGCGCCAAUAAUAACAAAUUAUUAGCUUAUGUUUGAAUUAGCCAAGUCUUUGCGGUUUUGCUAACUUGUCUUGGCUUUGCAUGGAGUGGGAAGCGCCAGCUUCUGAAAAGUGACUUUUUUCCUAAUUAGAAUGGACUCCUCUUGAGACCAUGCAGUUUUCAAAGAAGAAAGACAAGCUGGACGCUUUGUUAGUAACAAAUAAAAUGGUGUCACCAUGCUGCCUGGACUAGAGUGCUGUGGCUAUUCACAGUGGCUGUUGUGGCCUCUAACUUAACUCAAACAAUUCUACUGUCUCAGUCUCCAGAGUGGCUCAAACUCUAGAUGGAGUUUUGCUGUUGUUACCCAGACUGGAGUGCAAUGGCACAAUCUCGGCUCACCGCAACCUCCGCCUCCUGGAUUCAAGCAAUUCUGCCUCAGCCUCCCGAGUAGCUGGGACUACCAGCGUGCACCACCAGGCCCAGCUAAUUUUUGUAUUUUUAGUAGAGACGGGGUUUCACCUUGUUGACCAGGAUGGUCUCGAUCUCUUGACCUCGUGAUCCACCCACCUCAGCCUCCCGAAGUGCUGGGAUUAUAGGCGUGAGCCACCGCGCCCGGCCCCAAUUUUUUUUUGAGAUAGAGUCUUACUGUGUCGCCCAGGCUGGAGUGCAGUGGUGCUAUCAGGGUUGACUGUAGCCUUGACCUCCUGGAUUUGAGCCUCUCCGUCCUCAGCCUCCACAGUAGCUGGGACCACAGGGAUGCACCACCACAUCUGUCUAAUUUUUAAAUUAUUUGUACAGAUGGGUUCUCUCUGUGUUGCCCAGGCUAGGGACUCUGCGGUUUUGAUAAGCAUCCUAAGUAACUCUAAAUGCAGAUGUUUCACUAGCUGUACAUUGAGAAACACUGACUAGAAUGAUAUCAGGCAAAAACUACUUGCAUUGUUGAGAAGUAUAGUUGUCCAUUGUUAAUAAGCAUACAGUAAGAAUUCUGACCCAUUUGACUUAGGAUCACAAUAAUGAAUCUCCACAAUUUUCACUGACUUUGUACGAUGUGGCGCUUUGGGGCACAAGAGAGAAUAUGAAGCAUGGUCGUACACAGGCAGCCCGACGUACCUGAAGUGUGAUGAACGGAGACCACGAGAACCUAGUCCUGCCACUGACUAAUUUUACAAGCUUGGGUGGAAGUAAUUUCAUAAAUUUACUUCUUUUCGGUUUUCACAUUUUGUAAAAGAAAAUAAAAGGAAUAGUAUCCUUUCA